ACGGAAGGCAGCAGUGGGGAAUUUUGCGCAAUGGGCGAAAGCCUGACGCAGCAACGCCGCGUGCGGGACGAAGGCCUUCGGGUUGUAAACCGCUUUCAGCAGGGAAGACACUGACGGUACCUGCAGAAGAAGCUCCGGCUAACUACGUGCCAGCAGCCGCGGUAAUACGUAGGGAGCGAGCGUUAUCCGGAUUCAUUGGGCGUAAAGCGCGCGUAGGCGGCUCGCCAAGCGGGAUGUCAAAGCCCGGGGCUCCACCCCGGCCCGCAUCCCGAACUGGCGGGCUUGAGUUCGGUAGGGGAAGGCGGAAUUCCCAGUGUAGCGGUGAAAUGCGCAGAUAUUGGGAAGAACACCGGUGGCGAAGGCGGCCUUCUGGGCCGUAACUGACGCUGAGACGCGAAAGCUAGGGGAGCGAACAGGAUUAGAUACCCUGGUA
rnacentral:rRNA from 1 species